rnacentral:rRNA from 1 species
AGCAGCCCCGGUAAUUCCAGCUCCAAUAGCGUAUAUUAAAGUUGUUGCAGUUAAAAGCUCGUAGUUGAAUUUCGGGAUUAGUACGCUGGUCGUACCUCGGUAUGUACUGGUGUUACUGAUUCCUACCUUCUGACGAAUCGUCAUGUCAUUAAUUUGGUGUGGCGGGGAAUCAGGACUGUUACUUUGAAAAAUUAGAGUGUUUAAAGCAGGCUCGCGCUUGAAUACAUUAGCAUGGAAUAAUGAAAUAGGACGUUUGAUCCUAUUUUGUUGGUUUCUAGGAUUGACGUAAUGAUUAAUAGGGAUAGUUGGGGGCAUUAGUAUUCAAUUGUCAGAGGUGAAAUUCUUGGAUUUAUUGAAGACUAACUACUGCGAAAGCAUUUGCCAAGGAUGUUUUCAUUAAUCAAGAACGAAAGUUAGGGGAUCGAAGACGAUUAGAUACCGUCGUAGUCUUAACCAUAAACUAUGCCGACUAGGGAUCGGAUGAUGUUAAUUUUUAAUGACUCAUUCGGCGCCUUACGGG